ACUUAUCUACGAUGAUGGUUUAGCCAAAUAUUAUAGCAUCGAGAGUCGCCAAAAAUAUUUAAAGAGGAGUAGAAAAAGAGAAGGAGUGUAUGUGUACGAGGAUGUUGCCAACUUGCAUGGGACUCUCUCUCUGUCAGUGUAUCUUCUUUAGUGUUUGCAACUGUCAAAUGCUGAGUUUUUAAAAAUAUAUAAGUAACAACUUUGAAAUAAUAUCGUAUAAGGCCAUAAAGUAUAUAAAGAAACAAAAGUUUUGGAUUUUCAGGGAAGGACUCGGUUCCUGCGAAUUCUCGGGGAAGGACUUCCGGCCAAUUAUAAAUACCUUCUUUUUCUUCUCUCCACGAUGCAACCACCCCUUCUUCCUGUUCGUUUCUCUUCUAAGUUUCUUGCUUUCUGCAUUUCUCUUUGCUUUUUCCAAAUUAUUGCCGCUAGUUUUCUCGAUUCAGGAUGACUANNN
rnacentral:lncRNA from 1 species